rnacentral:snRNA from 1 species
GUGCUUGCUUCGGCAGCACGUAUACUAAAAUUGGAACGAUACAGAGACGAUUAGCAUGGCCCCUGCGCAAGGAUGACACGCAAAUUCGUGAAGUGGAAAAAAAAAUA